rnacentral:tRNA from 1 species
GCAAAAAAGAUUUGGUUCGCCGCGGAUUUGAAAUCCGAGGUUAUUGUAGUUUUACAAGUUUUGCU